AUCUUUCAGUUACUUCGAAUGUGCAAAACAUUCAUUACGUCAAUAUGUAUUGUACAACAGCACUGCACAAAUAAGCAUGAUAAGGCAUAGAAAGUACUCUAUCAGGUAGCUGGUUCUACAGAUGUAUAAAUGUCCAGA
rnacentral:lncRNA from 1 species